rnacentral:tRNA from 1 species
UGUCCCAUGGUGUAAUGGUAGCACAUCUGAUUUUGGUUCAGCCAGUCUAGGUUCGAAUCCUGGUGGGACAACCA